rnacentral:rRNA from 1 species
AUUGAACGCUGGCGGAAUGCUUUGCACAUGCAAGUCGAACGGCAGCACGGGGGCAACCCUGGUGGCGAGUGGCGAACGGGUGAGUAAUACAUCGGAACGUGCCCGGUCGUGGGGGAUAACGUAGCGAAAGUUACGCUAAUACCGCAUACGAUCUACGGAUGAAAGCGGGGGACCGUAAGGCCUCGCGCGAUUGGAGCGGCCGAUGUCAGAUUAGGUAGUUGGUGAGGUAAAGGCUCACCAAGCCGACGAUCUGUAGCUGGUCUGAGAGGACGACCAGCCACACUGGGACUGAGACACGGCCCAGACUCCUACGGGAGGCAGCAGUGGGGAAUUUUGGACAAUGGGCGCAAGCCUGAUCCAGCCAUUCCGCGUGCAGGACGAAGGCCUUCGGGUUGUAAACUGCUUUUGUACGGAACGAAAAGGCUCUGGUUAAUACCUGGGGCUCAUGACGGUACCGUAAGAAUAAGCACCGGUUAACUACGUGCCAGCCGCCGCAGUAA